AGCGAACGCUGGCGGCAGGCCUAACACAUGCAAGUCGAACGGACCUUUCGGGGUUAGUGGCGGACGGGUGAGUAACACGUGGGAACGUGCCUUUAGGUUCGGAAUAGCUCCUGGAAACGGGUGGUAAUGCUGAAUGUGCCCUUCGGGGGAAAGAUUUAUCGCCUUUAGAGCGGCCCGCGUCUGAUUAGCUAGUCGGUGAG
rnacentral:rRNA from 1 species